GAACGAACGGACAUCGGUCGUGCUUAACACAUCGCAAGUCGAACGGAAUAGGCCCUGCUUGCCAUGGUACUCACGUGCGGGAACGGGUGAGUAACACGUGGGUGAUCUGCCCUGCGCUUCUGGAUAAGCCUGGGAAACUGGGUCUAAUACCGGAUAGGAGCCAUUAUUAUAUUGUGAUGGUUGGAAAGUUUGUUUACUGUGUAGGAUGAGCUCGCCGCCUAUCAUCUUGUUGGUGGCGGUAAUGGCCUAUCAAUGGCGACGACGGGUAGCCGGCCUGAUAGGGUGGACGGACCACCUUGUUACUGAUAUACUGCCCACACUCCUACUGGAGGCAGCAGUGGGGAACAUUGCACAAUGGGCGCAAACCUGAUGCAGCGACGCCGCGUGGGGGAUGACGGCCUUCUGGUCGUAAACUCCUUGUCUCUAGGGACGAAGCUUUUGUGACGGUACCUACAUAAAAAACACCGGCUAACUACGUGCCAGCAGCCGCGGUAAUACAUACGGAGCGAGCGUUGUCCGGACAGACUGCUCGUAAAGGGCUCGUAGGUGGUUUGUCGACACGUCUGUGAAUUCCGGGGCUUAACUCCGGGCGUGCAGGCGAUACGGGCAUAACUUGAGUACUGUAGGGGUAACUGGAAUUCCUGGUGUAGCGGUGAAAUAUCCAGAUAUCAGGAGGAACACCGAUGGCGAAGGCAGGUUACUGGGCAGUUACUGACGCUGAGGAGCGAAAGCAUGGGUAGCGAACAGGAUUAGAUACCCUGGUAGUCCAUGCCGUAAGUGUGACUGCUAGGUGUGAGGGUCUUGUUCACGACUUUCGUGCCAUAUCUAACGCAUUAAGCGCACCUCGCCUGGCGGAGUGACGGCCCCAAGGCUAAAGAUUCAAAGGAAUUGACGGUGGCGCCCGCACAAGCGGCGGAGCAUGUGGAUUAAUAUGGAUGCAACGCGAAGACCCUUACCUGGGCUUGACAUACACUGGAUCGCUGCAGGAGAUGUAGUUUCCCUUCUGUGGCUGGUGUACAGUGUGAGUGCAUGGUUGUCCUCAGCUCACUUCGUCGAGAUGUUGGGUUGAAGUCCCGCAACGAGCGCAACCACUUGUCUUAUGGUUGCCAGCAUUAUGGUUGCGGGAUUCAUGAGAGACUGCCGGGGUCAACUCGGAGGAAGGUGGGGAUGACGUCAGAUCAUCAAUGCCCCUGCUGUCCAGGUGCUUCACACGUGCUACAGUGGUCGGUACAACGCGCCAGCGAUACUGUGAGGUGGAGCGAAUCGCUGAAUGCCGGCCUUAGUUCGGAUUGUCGUCUGCAAACUCGACCCCAUGCAAGUCGGAGUCGCUAGUAAUCGCAGAUCAGCAAUGCUGCGGUGAAUACGUUCCCGGGGUUAUC
rnacentral:rRNA from 1 species